AUUAAUUUUUAAAUAGGUUACUAGAGCCCAAUAGUAUUCCAAAAAAACCGAAUUACUAUUUGGAUUUCUUAAUCAUGUACAUAUGUGUUAGCACACCAAUCAGAGGCUAUGAGUUAGACCAGAUUAAUAAACAGACUUGACCUUAAAAUACCAAGAAUCUGGAAUCCUUAUUAAGUAGUUGAAAUAAUAAACAAUGAAAAUGUAUUAACAGCAUCCAAAGACUUAUGGCAGUGUUGUGACCAGCAUGGUAGUGAAAUAAUUUUCAAUUUAAAAAUAGGAAUCAGAACAGUGGUUGCUUCUAUUGAGGGAAGGAGACUAACUGGAAAGGCAAGGAGGGAAAUUCCUAGGGUAAUAGAAAUGCCUUAUAUCAUGAUGUACUGACACAUACAUCAUCAAGACUUAUUGAAGUAGACACUUGAAAAUAUACAUUUUCUGUAUCAUUAAAAAAUAUGUAUAUAUGUAUAUAUAUUUAAACUUAACCACUAGCAUGAGUAUAUUCCUUAGCAAUGCCUUACACUUGUUAGUGUGCUAGCAGUAAAAUAUUUGUGCUUUCUUCCAUCUGUGCCUCUUUGGACCCAUCUGGAAAGCUCAGCAAACCACUGUCUGGCAUCUUUCUGCUGUACAACACAGGCUACAUGUAGGCAAGCUGGAAAGAAAAUAAGAGACAAAGGCCCACGUUUAACUAGAAACAUACAAUGUGUGGACUCAGAACUAAGGAGAGAGUGGUAGGGAGGGAGGAGACAGAGAAAAACAUGUGAGAAGCAUUGAUGUGAGAGAGACACAUCAAUUGGUUGCCACUGGCAGGCAUCCCAACCAGGACCGGGGAUGGAGCCUACAACUGAGGUAUGUGACCUUCACUGGAAUUGAACCUGCAACCCUUUAGUCCGAGGGUCAAUGCUCUAACCACUGAACUAAAUCGGCCAGGGCUCCCCUCAUAUUUAUAUUGUCUAUUUAUCUUCUAUGUACUUGAGGUAUGAUGUACUUAAAUCUCUAAAUGCAUUACCUUUCCUUAAAAUUGCUUCAAUUUAAGUGUUUAAAAAAUUUUAAUUUAACAUCACUGAAAGAUACCAGAUUAGAAGCCAGGGACAUGAUAGUUUUCUGCACUCAAAUUAGCUUCCAAGGAGAUUUUUUAGAUUCUGCCCUUAAUUGCAAGAAUAUUAAGUGUUGUUCUUAUUCAACUGGACCUGGACUAACAAAUAUUUCAUGCCAUUUAAUAAUAAAGCAGUUGAAUUUCUGAAGAAAAUAAACUUUAAUAUCACCAAAAGAACUCAAAAGACCACACAAUUAUUCUUUUUGAAACAGCAAGAGAAGAAUGAUAUAGUAUAAGACUUCCAAUGUCAGUUCCCAUUUCUUCUUUGAGCUUAAUAUACCAACAUUCUAAAAAUGACUAAAAUCUAUGAGGUGAUCCACCUUACAUAUAUUGCCUCAUUUAAUGUAAUCAA